rnacentral:lncRNA from 1 species
CACCAAACAGGAAGGCAAGAGCAAGAAAUUCCAGUAACAGUAGUCACCGAACAGAAUGAAGAUUAAAUCCUACUAAAUAGAUGAAGCACCUUGCACAGACUUUGGCCAAUAGAGCCUCAUCUACUUGCUUUUCUGUAUGAAGCGGGAAAUCCACUGGAUGUUGUUUCACUGUAAGUCGGUAUUCCAUCCUGGGUUGGAGAUCAUGUGGUGCCCUCCUGCUAGAAGUCCUAUAAAAUCCAGUUUCUCCUCUGAGAUUGCUGAAGUACAAGACAAGGGAAAAAUCACUAGCAUGGUGUUGGAGUCUUUCCAAGAGCCAGAGGCGUAGACAGCAUUAUCCAAGUGAGCUGCAGAAUAACCCUACAAAGGUGCCGGCUUCCUUAUCUAAUAAAUGAGAAUAAGGAGGCUUGAAAAAGUAAGAGGAUGCUCCCAGUUUCAUGAAUCCAGUGAGCACCAUGAACAACAGAUGUCCCCUGGGCCCUGCCCACACCCUGUCCUGUAUACAUGAGCGUACACCAGCCUGUCUUUCAACUGCUGGCACCUGCAUUUCUUCUCACAAGAACAUUUUCUGGACAACAAAGCCCAUUCUGUCCAUUUCCGAGUGACAUCCUCAACCAACGCCUGGAGGGAAGCCCCCUUUGCCCCUAACAUGGGAGAACUCCAAGGGACCCUGUUCUACACAGGCUCCCGGAGUCCCCAUGAGGAGUCACCUACAGCUACCUACCAUCACCAUUCUCUUGAAACUGAUUUUUACUUUUUAAUUUACUGCCCUUGCUUCCUUGUCUUGCCUUUUCACUCUGUGACCAGUUCUUCUCAAAAUUAC